UGGGGAAUUUUGGACAAUGGGCGAAAGCCUGAUCCAGCAAUGCCGCGUGUGUGAAGAAGGCCUUCGGGUUGUAAAGCACUUUUGUCCGGAAAGAAAUCCUUGGCUCUAAUACAGUCGGGGGAUGACGGUACCGGAAGAAUAAGCACCGGCUAACUACGUGCCAGCAGCCGCGGUAAUACGUAGGGUGCAAGCGUUAAUCGGAAUUACUGGGCGUAAAGCGUGCGCAGGCGGUUUGCUAAGACCGAUGUGAAAUCCCGGGCUCAACCUGGGAACUGCACGGUGACUGGCAGGCUAGAGUAUGGCAGAGGGGGGUAGAAUUCCACGUGUAGCAGUGAAAUGCGUAGAGAUGCGGAGGAAUACCGAUGGCGAAGGCAGCCCCCUGGGCCAAUACUGACGCUCAUGCACGAAAAGCGUGGGGAGCAAAACAGGAUUAGAUACCCUGGUAGUCCACGCCCUAAAACGAUGUCAACUAGUUGUUGGGGAUUCAUUUCCUUAGUAACGUAGCUAACGCGUGAAGUUGACCGCCUGGGGAGUACGGUCGCAAGAUUGAAACUCAAAGGAAUUG
rnacentral:rRNA from 1 species